CCAGUCAGAAAUUGUUUUGGGGAAAAAAAGACGUUUUGAAGAGGUCAGUCCGGCACCUGUAUUCUUUAACUUUGAGCGAAUGGUCACUUUGUACCAACAC
rnacentral:lncRNA from 1 species